GUCAAGUUGACACACAAAGCCAUCCAGUACACCUCUGUUAUUUCCCAUUCUGUGUUCAUGUUCUCUUAGAUCGUGAAUCUCAGCAAAGGGACAUUCUCUCAAUCUCUAGACUGUGUCAUUCCCAGAGCUGAGAGAAAAAAGUGCUGUGGGGACACGUGCAUGCAUUCAACAGUGAUCAAGCCAGGGAGAUCAACAGGUUGACCACCUCGAGCGGUUAUCAUUCCUUUUGCCCUCUCUCUCCCGGCUUACUGCCAUGGUCUUAAGUUUUUGGUCCAUCAUCCCCCACUUGUGUGAGAGAAGCCACCCUCUAACUGGUUUAUCAGUUUUCACAUACUUCUGGGUAAUGAAAAGUCAUAAAGUUAUCUCCUGCGAUCAUCAAACAGCUAACAUUGUCAAGUCUCUAAUGGUAAGCUAGGACAUGUUCUGAUGGCUUUCCAUGGUUUCCUGAUGAACUGUCACACCCGCCUGCAAACAGGAACUAUUGUCUUCUUUUGCAGAUGGGAAAGCAAGGCACAGAGAACUCAAGGACUAGUCUAGAGCUGUACAGCAGUAAGUGGCCUAAGGGAGAGUUGAACUAGCCUCCUCGAAGCGCACCUCUGCUUAUGAUGCCAACUCCAUACAUGUGGUUACUGGAACAGCUGCCCAGUCUCCCAGCUCUUGGAAUUUCAGUUUCGGUGUUUUCUCUUUGGUGCUGAGAGGGUCACCUAAGGCCUCACACCCACUAAGCACGUACUCUACCAUUGGGCCACAACCUGUCCUCUGUAGCUUUGAAAACUAAAACUGAAACAGAUUGAGCUUGGUUGCUAUAAAAUGGAUGGAUUAAUAUUGCCCUCUGUUUUUUAAAAGGUUAUCUUGUUGUGUGUAUAAGAGUGUUUUGUCUGCAUUAGGUAUGUAUGCACACCACAUGUGUGUCUGGAGCCUGUGAGGGUUAGAGGUGGGUGUCAGGCCCCCUGGAACUGGAGUUGUGGAUGGUUGUGAGCUGCCAUGUAGGGGCUUGGAACAAAGCCUGGGUCCCCUGCAUGAGCAGAGAGUGCACUUAACCACUGUGCCAUCUCUCCAGCCCCUCAGCCAUUUUUUUCUUGAAAUGUUUGAAGGUCACUGCUUAAAUUCUCUAAAUGCUACACUUGUGUGAUAUUCUUUUUCUGUUUAAAAUAUUUAAAAUCCCCAACUGUUUACCUUUGCUAGCU